rnacentral:rRNA from 1 species
GACGAACGCUGGCGGCGUGCCUAAUACAUGCAAGUAGAACGCUGAAGGAGGAGCUUGCUUCUCUGGAUGAGUUGCGAACGGGUGAGUAACGCGUAGGUAACCUGCCUGGUAGCGGGGGAUAACUAUUGGAAACGAUAGCUAAUACCGCAUAAUAGUAGAUGUUGCAUGACAUUUGCUUAAAAGGUGCAAUUGCAUCACUACCAGAUGGUCCUGCGGUGUAUUAGCUAGUUGGUGAGGUAACCGCUCACCAAAGCAACGAUACAUAGCCGACCUGGGAGGGGGGUUGGCCCCACCUGGACUGGGGCCCCGCCCAGGCUCCUUCGGGGAGCCGCCGUAGGGGAACUUCCGCCAUUGGCCGAAGUCUGGCCGGGCAACGCCGCGUGGGUGAAGGAGGGUUUCGGAUCGUUAAGCUCUGUUGUAAGGGAAGAACGAGUGUGAGAGUUGAAAGUUCACACUGUGACGGUAUCUUACCAGAAAGGGACGGCUAACUACGUG